rnacentral:rRNA from 1 species
UACAGAGGGUGCAAGCGUUGUUCGGAAUUAUUGGGCGUAAAGCGCGUGUAGGCGGCAUGGCAAGUCGGGUGUGAAAGCCCUCAGCUCAACUGAGGAAGUGCGCCCGAAACUGCUUUGCUUGAGUGCUGGAGAGGGUCGCGGAAUUCCCGGUGUAGAGGUGAAAUUCGUAGAUAUCGGGAGGAACACCAGUGGCGAAGGCGGCGAUCUGGGAAGAUACUGACGCUGAGGUGCGAAAGCGUGGGGAGCAAACAGG